rnacentral:rRNA from 1 species
AGAGUUUGAUCCUGGCUCAGGAUGAACGCUGGCGGCGUGCUUAACACAUGCAAGUCGAACGAUGAUCCCAGCUUGCUGGGGGAUUAGUGGCGAACGGGUGAGUAACACGUGAGUAACCUGCCCUUAACUCUGGGAUAAGCCUGGGAAACUGGGUCUAAUACCGGAUAUGACUCCUCAUCGCAUGGUGGGGGGUGGAAAGCUUUAUUGUGGUUUUGGAUGGACUCGCGGCCUAUCAGCUUGUUGGUGAGGUAAUGGCUCACCAAGGCGACGACGGGUAGCCGGCCUGAGAGGGUGACCGGCCACACUGGGACUGAGACACGGCCCAGACUCCUACGGGAGGCAGCAGUGGGGAAUAUUGCACAAUGGGCGAAAGCCUGAUGCAGCGACGCCGCGUGAGGGAUGACGGCCUUCGGGUUGUAAACCUCUUUCAGUAGGGAAGAAGCGAAAGUGACGGUACCUGCAGAAGAAGCGCCGGCUAACUACGUGCCAGCAGCCGCGGUAAUACGUAGGGCGCAAGCGUUAUCCGGAAUUAUUGGGCGUAAAGAGCUCGUAGGCGGUUUGUCGCGUCUGCCGUGAAAGUCCGGGGCUCAACUCCGGAUCUGCGGUGGGUACGGGCAGACUAGAGUGAUGUAGGGGAGACUGGAAUUCCUGGUGUAGCGGUGAAAUGCGCAGAUAUCAGGAGGAACACCGAUGGCGAAGGCAGGUCUCUGGGUAUUAACUGACGCUGAGGAGCGAAAGCAUGGGGAGCGAACAGGAUUAGAUACCCCGGUAGUCC